CUCUGGAAUCUAUCCCAUCCUUUUCCCCCUGGGGUUGGGACUUCGGAGGUGGAGCGAAACAAGACGGGGCGAGAGCUGAUAGGCCUGCCACACGCACUGAAAAACGCGACUGGGAAGGACAGAAACGGGAAGAGAAGUUUGCAGCUUGAAGCGGCCUCCGGUGUAUCCUUUCCAAGCCGUGUUCUCGAGCCUUGUAAUAAUGUAUUCUUUUCUGGCCCUUCGGAUCUUGUAACGUACAUCUUGUUAGUUGAAAAAUGAGAAGGAGAUUUUGUUACCUCAUCCGCACUUUGCAUCGAAUUGUUGUCUGCCGAACUUCCUUCCUUUUCUC
rnacentral:lncRNA from 1 species